AAGUCGAACGAUGAGGCCCCUACGGGGGUACAUCAGUGGCAGACGGGUGAGUAACACGUAGGUAACCUGCCCUCGAGACGGGGAUAACGGCUGGAAACGGUCGCUAAGACCCGAUAUAGUCUGACCUUCUGGAGAAGGUGAGAGGAAAGGCUUCGGUGCUCGGGGAGGGGCCUGCGGCCCAUCAGCUAGUUGGAGAGGUAACGGCUCCCCCAGGCAAUGACGGGUAGGGGGUGUGAGAGCAUGGCCCCCCACACUGGGACUGACACACGGCCCACACUCCUACGGGAGGCAGCAGCAGGGAAUAUUGCGCAAUGGACGGAAGUCUGACGCGCGACGCCGCGUGGAUGAUGAAGGCCUUCGGGUUGUAAAAUCCUUUUCCGGGCGAUGAGACAAGACACUAACCUGGGAAUAAGCGUCGGCUAACUACCUGCCAGCAACCGCGGUAAGACGUAGGACGCGAGCGUUAUCCGGAUUUACUGGGCGUAAAGCGCCUGCAGGCGGUCAGGUAAGUCGGUUGUGAAAGCCCCGUGCUCAACGCGGGGAGGCCAAGCGAUACUGCGUGACUUGAGGGUGGAAGAGGGGAGUGGUAUUCCCGGUGUAGCGGUAAAAUGCGCAGAUAUCGGGAGGAACAUCCAGUGGCGACGGCGGCUCCCUGGACCUCACUUGACGCUCAGAGGCGAAAGCUAGGGGAGCGAACAGGAUUAGAGACCGUGGUAGUCCUAGCCCUCAACGCUGGAUGCUAGGUGUAGGGCUGAUGAGGCUCUGUGCCGGAGCGAUCGCGAUAAGCAUCCCGCCUGGGAACUACGGCCGCAAGGCUAAAACUCAAACGAAUUGACGGGGACCCGCACAAGCAGCGGAGCGUGUGGUUUAAUUCGAUGCUACACGAAGAACCUUACGUGGGUUUGACAUGCUGGUGGUACCGAACCGAAAGGGGAGGGACCCUUCGGGGAGCCAACACAGGUGCUGCAUGGCUGUCGUCAGCUCGUGCCGUGAGGUGUCGGGUUAAGUCCCGUAACGAGCGCAACCCUUGCUCUUAGUUAUACGUGUCUAAGGGGACUGCCGGCGACAAGCCGGAGGAAGGUGGGGAUGACGUCAAGUCAGCAUGGCCUUGAUAUCCAGGGCUACACACACGCUACAAUGGCCGGUACAAAGGGCAGCCAAGCCGCGAGGUGGAGCGAAUCCCAGCAAAGCCGGUCCCAGUUCGGAUUGCAGGCUGCAACCCGCCUGCAUGAAGUUGGAGUUGCUAGUAACCGCGCGUCAGCCAUAGUGCGGUGAAUACGUACCCGGGUCUUGUACACACCGCCCGUCACGUCAUGGGAGUUGGCAACGCCUGACAGCGGUAGCCUAACCGAAAGG
rnacentral:rRNA from 1 species